rnacentral:rRNA from 1 species
UACGGGGGGAGCAAGCGUUGUUCGGAAUUACUGGGCGUAAAGCGCGUGUAGGCGGCCCUGCAAGUCGGAUGUGAAAUCCCACGGCUCAACCAUGGAAGUGCAUUCGAAACUGCAGAGCUAGAGUCCUGGAGAGGAAGGUGGAAUGCUUGGUGUAGAGGUGAAAUUCGUAGAUAUCAAGCGGAACACCGGUGGCGAAGGCGGCCUUCUGGACAGUGACUGACGCUGAGACGCGAAAGCGUGGGGAGCAAACAGG